CAGUCGCCACGGGAAUACGGAGGGAGCUAGCGUUGUUCGGAGUUACUGGGCGUAAAGCGCGCGUAGGCGGUUACUCAAGUCAGAGGUGAAAGCCCGGGGCUCAACCACGGAACUGCCUUUGAAACUAGGUGACUAGAAUCUUGGAGAGGUCAGUGGAAUUCCGAGUGUAGAGGUGAAAUUCGUAGAUAUUCGGAAGAACACCAGUGGCGAAGGCGACUGACUGGACAAGUAUUGACGCUGAGGUGCGAAAGCGUGGGGAGCAAACAGGAUUAGAUACCCCUGUAGUCCCUGUCUCUUAUAC
rnacentral:rRNA from 1 species